CCUCACCAUCUUUCCCCUCUGUCUGAAGGAAAAAGGGUCAGAGUAUUUAGGGGAAACAAGGAGAGAGAAACCUGGAGAGAGAAACUUCUGCAACUCAAGACCAACGAUUGUCCUUUCGAGUUUCGAUGAGGGUGCUUCGAUUUUCCGAUCUCGUCACAUUCAUCAGAUAUUUUAUCUGAGAAGGAGAUGCACUUGACUGGAGUUUAUGAUUUAGUUGCUGUGUUAACUCACAAGGGUAGAAGUGCUUAUUCAGGGCACUAUGUUGGUUGGGUGAAGCAAGAUAAUGGAAAGUGGAUUGAGUAUGAUGACAACAACCCAAUUCCCUAAUGAGAAGAAGACAUUGUGAAACUCUCUGGGGGAGAUUUUGUUGCUUCCAGGAAAGUGCGUUCCUCAAUCCUCCAAUGCCUUCAAUUUUCAGUAUCCUUUCAUUCUUUGGCAGGUAAAUCUGUACCGAGUGCUCCCUGCAUAACCGGAGGAUCUACGGUUGCUUCAUCAAUUCUGUCUGCCUGUAGUGCUCAGUUUAAUUCAGGUGGAUGAGCCAACUCGCUUGACACCAAGGAAGAAAUCAAUUAACCCACCAAGUAUGACAUCAAUAGAUGAACUCCGAACACCUGACUUUGAAGCCUUGUUGAAAUCAUUUUGGGACUUGAGGUUUGGAAAGCAGACAAAAGAUGAUGUGAAACAUAUAUACGGACAAGAGGGUGUUUUAACUAAAGUAAGUCAGUAGUUUAAUUGUAAGAUGCAUCUAUAGUAUUAUGUAGAAACAAUGUACACUUAUACAUUAUAUGUAAUAUGUAUACAAACCAUGUAGCUUCAAUUUCCUUAGAUAAUCAAAGGUCAUUGUACUACUCUCUGCUUAUUGAUGUGUAAGAGUGAUAA